ensembl:lncRNA
GUGAGGGCUCUCUUCCUGGUUUGCAGACAUCUGCCUUCUUGCUAAGUCCCCAUAUGAUGGAGGUUGGAUAUACUGGAGAGGGAGAGAGAGUGAGAGCAAGCACACAGGCACUCUGGUCUCUUUUUGUCUUCUUAGGAUACUAACCCCAUGAUGGGGCCCAGCCCUCAUGACUUCAUCUAAACCUAGUUAUCUCCCAAAGGCCCCAUAUCCAAAUACCAUCACAUUGGGGGUUAGGGCUCCAUCAUAUGAAUUUGGGGGGGACACAAACAUUCAGUCCACAACAAAGAGGGUGAUGCUGAACUUCCAUUGCAGCCUCUAGCCCUACUGCAGAGUCCAUGGCUGUGGAUCCUUUCUUUCAUGAAUUUCCAACAGAAAAAAACAAAAGCCAGAAAAGCACACAAGAAUCAUGGAGAAGUGCUGUUCCUGAUAUACGUGGAAGGGAUUGGAGGAGAAUGAAUUCUAAAAGUGAGUGUUCUAAAUUCUAAAGUGGGCAUUGUGGUUCACCACCCAUUUACUAAACUAAUUCUUGUUCUGUGAACCGUGGAGUACCGCCACCUGUAGGAUACCUCACACCAAGUCAUUCCUCUUCCCUGAAGCACACUGCCUCCCACAACUGUGAGCAGGCGUAUGUUCACAGUUUCACACCUUGAGAUGGUGGAGACCACCAGGCUCUUCUAGUCCACACGUCUCUCCAGCUUGACAUCCUCCCAGUGGAUGCUCCAGCGCAUAACCUCCGGGAGCACGGGUUAAAGCAACAGUCGCCAGUGGUGUCCUGUUUGACACAGUGUGUCCUCUUUCCUCCACUAACUGCUACCUUUAGGAGUAAAAGCUCUAAGAAAAUCUCCUUGUGGCCUAUGAUUUCUCAGUAGCCAGAAAGCUCAUUAAUACUCUCUUCACUUCCUGUUAAGGAUCCACGAUCUCUUGCUAGGGCUUCCUAUUAGCUGAAGCCAGAGAGAAGAGAGAAGGCAUGGAAGCCCACUGACUACACGAUACAAGUCAGCACAUCGGAGGAGAGAGCGGGAAAAGAAGGAGACUGCAGGCCCAGGAGAGCUGAUGGUGUAUUCCAGUCCAAACCCAAACCCGAAGGCCUGAGAACCAGGAGCACUCUAUGGCAGAGGGCAAAGAUGGACGUUCCGGCUCAAGCAGAGAGCACAGUCAGCCUUCCUCUGCCGUUGGUUCCGUUCCGGCGCUCAGUGGAUUGGAUGAAGCCCACCUGCAUUGGGGAGCGCCAUCUUCUUUACUCAGUCUACUGAUUCAAAUGCUAAUCUCUUCCAGAAACACCCUCACACACACCCCAGACAUAAUGUUUUACCAGCUAUCUGGUCAUUCCUUACCUCAGUCAAAUUCAUACAUAAAACUAAGCAUCACACCUCCCCAAAAUCAAGACAAUGGAUGAUGUUUAUAACUGGGUAAAAUGGGAUUUGUAAUUCAGGUUAUUUCAUGUUCUUUGCUUUCCACAAAUCUGAAGCAUAACCUAAUCAACUUGCCAACGGAUUUAUAAUUAAUAAUUUUUGAUCAUAGACUAUUAUGUUACUUCAGCAUGUAAUUCUGAAGGAGUUCAAAGAAUUGUGUGACAUUGUUCAAGUAAAAUCCCUUUCAUUCCUAUGAAUUUAAUCAUAUAAACACAUUUCCAUUCUACUUCAAGUAAUAAAAUGAAAAAUAUCAGUAGGAUGGAUUGGAAACUGUCAUAGUCUAGCAAUAAUUCAUAUUUAUCCAUGGAUAAGUUCAGUAAUCAAAAAAUAGCUUUAUUAAUUUCAUUAAGAUAUGCAUUCUAGAAAGUGAAUUUUGUGUUAAAAUUACUUAUUAAAUUUGUAAUAUGUUUAUGCUGAGACAAAUUGUGUACUAAUAACAAUUAUAAUGCGACUCAAUCCAGAAGAAAAACAAUUUAAUAAAGUCCUAUACAACAAAAUAUAAAAUUGUAGUGUCUAUACAUAUUCAGUGACAGAAUUAAGAUGGGGUGUUCAAUAUAAGAGCUUUAAGCAUAGAACAAUAUUGUAUCAGCAUGUAAUUUAGGUGUGAAAGUGAAAUGGAAAUGUGAGUUCAAGAUGAAAAAAUAAAAAUAAAUGAUUUCUGAAUUUUAAAGAAGAACUUAUUCAUAUGUAUUUUAAAUGGUUUUGAUGAGGAUUUCAAAUUAUUAUGCUCAGGAAAAACAAAAAAAGGAAUGAUAACUCUCUCCUGCCAGGAUUGAUCCUGAGCUUUCCGACAGAGCACUGAAGUCUGGUAACGUCCAUCCGUUAACUGCAUUCCCUCUGUUGUCUCUGAUCAUCUAUGCCUGGAAAAGCUUCCACAGGAAGUUUGUCAAACCUUCUAAAAAUUUACCUGUUUUGUUUGUGUUUCUGAAAAGUUUUUAAGUUUUUUAAGUAAAGAUUAUUUCUUCACAAAAGUCUUAUUGAUUACUGUUGAGUUUGUUUUAUUUUCUUUUUAUUUUAUUUGUAUUGUGAGCAAAAUACUUUUACAUUACCGUUUUAAAAAGCCAGUUAUUUCUGAUAAUAUUAUAACCCUGUGGGAUAGAGCAAGCACAUGGUAUAAUCUGUCUUGCGUCUUGCUGAGUUCUCUCUGAAGUUUGGCUACUAU